rnacentral:lncRNA from 1 species
ACAGUGAUGAUGUCUACCGCUGCUCCCAAAGACAAUAUGUGGGUUUUCCUUGCAAAGAAGUCAGGCGGUAAUCUUUCCGGAACCCGUUGCUGGGACGUUGUUCAGGACACAACAAGUGGUAACUGAAACCCAUCUCCUGGAGACAACUCGCGUGGAAUCUCAUUGUUUACGUUCUUGGCGACAUGGACAAUGUUGAUGACUACCACAUUUGGCAGCGCCGUGUCCACCACGGGAUCAGGUACCAGAAAGACGCAGUUCCCUUUCCAGAGUCGGUUGAUAUCGGUUUGGAGUUCAACGCGGCGUUGGAACGGAAGGACAAGUUGGAUCACAGUCUGCUGACGAACAGCGUGAUGCUGGAGCUCGGGGAUUUCGCCAAAGCGGUGACCAAGUCCGAGAAGUACUUCCUCUUCGAAAUGCUCGCCUUCAACUUUGACCUCGGUGUGGACGUGGACGAUGACAUGCAGUACUAUCAAUAUGCAACGUGUGUUCACCAAAAAAUUAGGUCUCUGAAAGAACAAACCAGGGGGAAACCUGAAAGAUUGAAGGAAGCGUUUCCACUUCCAGAUCUAAGCGCUAUGACGGCGUCCUCGGGUUCAGCGGCGCCUGGACAGUACUACUUCAAAAGAAACAAAAUGGUGGAUAGUUCAGUCCUCACCGAUCCCCGCUGCCGGUCUUCACAAAAGCAGAUGACUGAGAGUGACGGGGCCGCACAAAGCCGUAGGUUCAUUUUAAAAAAGAAAGUCGGGUUACAACAAGCGGAUAACGUUUACCCUCGCUGCCGAGAGCUCGCUGUGACUCUGGCCAUUGGACCGAAUGAAGCACCCAAACAGAAACAAGCCCGGAAUCUGCUGAGCGUCGCCGUGGUGUUGGAGCUGCUGGAUUUUUCCCGAGUGCUUUGUGGAACGCACACUCAGCUCGUGUGCGACUUGGUUGAGCAAAACUUUGGUCUGGAGCUGGAUCCGGCCAUGUUCCGUUUGCAGUUCAAGAAGCUGACGGACAGAAAAUAUUGCGGCGUCACGGCCGAGCAGAGAGACGGCUUCCGAAAGAAGCCUUUUAAGUUCCAGGUCAAGAAGCAGGAACAGAAGUACGCGAGGAGACGGAACCGCGACGCAGAUUUCCAGGAACCGGAAGGACUGACGGUGGCUAGUAAGAGACGGACAACGCUGAGGCACAGGGACGGCGAUGUCCUGGACACUCACCUGUCGUACAUGUGUCCGAUUGAGUUUGAGACAGAAAUGGAUGAGGAGGUCGGACUAGAAAAGAUGAAGCUUGAAAGUCAUUGGUCAGGAACAGCCGUCGAUUCACUGGAUGUGAAGCGAGAGGCGGGAGAAGUUGUUGUCUCCCCAGCGCAACCGCGGACUAAGGGUUCGUUCAACUCUCAUCCGAGCGAUGGGGCGAUCUCGCGUCUGUUCUCGGAAGACGGCGACAACGUCAAGGUAAAAACGCUGAGGCAGAGGCUGUGGAUGAAGAGAGCCGCUCGCUCCAAACACAUCCUGAAGUCGUGGCGAGUGAACGACCUGUUCGCCCGCUGCAGAGCGAUCGGGUUGGACUUCAACGUCGGUUCGGGCAACAAGCAGAGCUUGGAUCUGCGACUGCUCACCAACCUUGUGCUGUGUGAGGUGUUGAGAUUUGCAACUGCCAUGAGAAAGAGGUUACAAGGUUUUUUAUUUCACAUUCUGGACGGCAACUUUAACCUCGUCCAAGACGAACAGCGUCGGCAGAACUUUGUAUACUACUUCAUGACCACGGGAAAGGUUCUUCAGAGCCACCCGGCGAGAAGGAGGUCGGAGUUCCUGUGCAGUCCCUUUCAUUUCCCAGAGAUCUACAACGUGACCAGCAGGUUCCCGUCUGCACGGCAAGUCAAAGCCGAGCGGCAGACCAACUGCGAGUCAUCGCUCCCAGUUACAAACCGGCGGGCGGAGGCGGAGCGUCACCCGUUCUGCAAAAAGUUAGGUCUCGAUCUCUGGUCGACAGAAGAACGUCCGCCGAGCCAGAAGCUGGAUUUGUCCGAGCUGACCAAGGGCGCCGUGUUAGACAUACUCGGCUUCGUCAGGGAGCUGUGCGGCGACGUGCCCGAGACCGUGAACGACAUCCUGGAGCACAACUUUGAUCUGGAGCUGCAGAGCGGCGCGACCGAGGCCUCGCGGGCGAUCCAGAGGUGGUACGCGACGCAGAGAAGCCUGAUGAAAAACCGCAGCAGAGUCGCAGCAAAGAUAACCAGGUGGUUGAACAUGGUCGUCCCACUGGGCAAAGAGGCUCUGGAGCAUCUGGAUUCAGAAGACGACAAACAUCCCGACGCGGAGGGGACGGUGAGACGGGUCGACAGCUACCGCAUCUGCAAAGAAAUAGGAUUGGACCUCGAUGUUCCCUCGGAUUCAGGAGCCAAAACUAAGCUGGAUUUGCGGGUGCUGACGAGGGGAGUCCUCUUCGAGGUGCACAGUGAGAGUAAGUGA